AUCAGUCCUUCCAAUGAACACCCAGGACUGGUCUCCUUUAGGAUGGACUGGUUGGAUCUCCUUGCAGUCCAAGGGACUCUCAAGAGUCUUCUCCAACACCACAGUUCGAAAGCAUCAAUUCUUCGGCACUCAGCUUUCUUCACAGUCCAACUCUCACAUCCAUAUAUGACCACUGGAAAAGAAUUUAUUAUUAUAUAGGCAUUAUUAUAGUCAGUUUUUUCUUACUUUAUGAAAUGUAUUUCAUUUCAUAAUGUACUUUAUGAAAUGAAAAUUAAACCAUUUUUAUAGCCCUCUAGAAGUGGGAGGUCGGGGGGUCAUAUGUCAGUGCUUGCUGUGCUCAAUGGAUUCAUCAUUCCUGAGUUCAGUAAGUCAACAAAUAUUUAGCUGGGCUGAGGUCUGGACUAGGACCUGGAGGAACAGGAAGAAGUGUAAGAUGCAGCAUACGAUGCAAACUGAACUAAGGAGCUUUCACUCAUAGACACGUAAGAGGCCAAGAUGCAACACGAGACAGUGAGAGGUGUGGGGCAGGUGGGAAGGACAGGAGACAGGGGGUGUGUUAGGUAGGAGGGUAUUGAUGCCUCCAAAUUAUUGUUUUAAGGGCCUGUGCAAACUGAUGACAGCAAAAAUCAUAAGAAGGAAACAGACUAAGAAGGACAUAAAAAUCAAGACUGAUAGGAAGUCCCUGAGGACUGUGUGGUGUUAGGUGGCAUCUUAAACCAUACUUCUUAAAGCUUUUAUGUCACAUUAGUAUGACUUCCUGUGUGUUGGCUUUCAAUAUUUCAUUUAAAAUGUUCUCUCUUUAUUUCCUCUUCCCACAAAAAGACAGAGCUCAGCUUAUGAGUAUAAUUAAAAUGUGACUUCAUUAGAGCUAUGAGACCAUGCUUCCAUCUUGUUCUUAGCAGCCAUCUCAUUUUUAUCCCUCAGCCUUUUGCAUUUGUAAAAAAUGGAAGUGUAAUUUAAAAGAAGAUUGGUUUAAAUUUCAUGUUCUGGCCCUUUUCACUUGUAGCAGCCUGGCCAGACUGUCCUGCCCACCCCCGCACUCACUACACUCCAGGUGGUUCCCUAGUAACAGAUACCAAAUAAAUGACCUAUUUGAGUGAAAACUGAAAUCAGCAUUUCAAUACUAUUUUAAGUUUGGUUUCAAAACCAUGUGCUCCUUCCUCUAAAACUAGCACCAAUCACAGUGGUAGCUUGUAGCACUUUGGAAUAACCUUCCAGAUAUUUUUAGUGUUUUCUUUGUGAAAAUACCAAUGUUCCAAAAAAAGGAACGCAAGAAUGGAAAAUCUAUACCCAAGAGAUACUCAGCAAUAUGGUGCAAUAUGAUCAAUUAUUUAGGGACUAAUUUCCCAGGCCCUGUGCUAGGAAAUUCAGAUAUGAUGGAGAUGGUACCUGUCAUUGGAGAGUUCACAAUUACUAGAAGAGAGAAACAAGCCAACCAGAUGAUGACAACAUGAUGUGAUAUGUGUUACUGCAGAGGCACGCCUUAGGUGCAACACACACACACACACUCGCCUCAUAGCUGGAGGAAUAAGAAAGUGACCCUGGAAGGCUUACAAAGGAAUGUGGAAUUAGGCAAAGACUGCUGGUUGCCUACUCAGUCCACUCCCUUUCUUAUUAACCCAAUGCCUAUUUUUAUUCAGUGUGGCAAUAUGCUCACCAUAGAGAUUACAUUUCUUACUCUCCCUAAUGAUCAUGCAACUAAAUUCUGACCAGUGAGAUGUAAAUGGACAUUUUAAUCAGGUUUUCGGAAGAGAUCGUAAAAGGGAACACAGACAGCUAGAACUUGUCCUCUUUGCCUUCCCUGCUCCUUCCUUCGCAUCUGAAAUAUGGACAUGUGAGCUGGAGCUCCAGCAGCCAUUGUGUGCCAUUAGGUAGACUUGAGAAUAGGAUCCAAGGACCCAGGACGUCAGAGCAGAACAAUAGAAAUAACCUGAGUCCUGAAUCUGAGUCCCUAGUGAUUACAGUAUCCACCGCACAGCUCUGGACUGCCUAUCUCUGGAUUCCCUUUCUAUGAAAAUGAAAAUCCAUAUAUCUUAGCUACUAUUAUUUUCAGUUGUCUUAAUGCUAACUUAUAUUGUGCCCACUGAGUUCAGUUUUGACAGGUUAGUAGAAGUCAGCAAGGUGGACAAGAGGCAGAAGUAUUUUUUAGGCAGAGAGAAAAACCUUGUCAAAGCCACAGGAGCAUAAAGGUGCAUGGAGCACGAAGGGACUUGAGGCAGCUCUGCCUGGCUGAAGUUAUAACCGAUAAGGUGAGAGAGUAGAGCAGCUACCCUCGUUCAGGCCAGCUACCUCCUUGAAUACAUCUAGUGCUUUAGUCAUAAAUACGCAGCCACCCCAGAGGGUUGUUGUUUACUUAAUGACCCCAGAACAUGGGUGGGAGCCUUGGUCUUAGUGAGGAAAAGAGAGCACCUGUGAAGUAAUGGGAUGGAAAGAGGAGGAUAGGGCAGAUGCCAGUAAAGGUGAGUGUUCAAGACCUUCUGUUUUGGAGAAGCUGAUGGUGUCUGCUUUCUCUGUGAAGAAGGAGAGAGCAAGCCUGGAGGACAAAGGGUUUCAGGAGAGUGGAGGAAGUCUGAAACAGUUUCUGGUCAUUAGGCCUUUGUGUCCCUGUUUAUCUAAUUUCCCCUAAUUUCAAUGAGUUCAUAGCUCCACUCGUGCUUCUUUCCACCCAAUCCAGAACUUACUUCAGUUCCCUCCUGUUGACCCUCCACUGCUGAGACUUCCCAGAGUGCUGGCACAGUCUUCUCUGCUCAUCAUACGCACAUUGCUUUGCGUUGUGUCAUAGCUGUGGUAGCCAACCCUAUCUUCAAGCACAAUAAGAAAAAUAAGAGUAGAAAGAGUUUUAGAGAUACUCCUCUAAAACUUAGCUUCCCCAACUGCAAAAUGAGGGGAAAAUCACUACCUUAAAGAGCUGAUAUGAAGAUUCAGAGAAUUCAUAUGAGGAGCUUAGCACCGUGCCUUGUGUAUAAUAGGCAUUUAAUAAGAGGUAGCUUUCAGCAUUACUUCUUUCAGUUCAGUUCAGUCGCUCAGUCGUGUCCAACCCCUCGCAACUCCAUGAACUGCAGCACACCAGGAUUCCUUGUCCAUCACCAGCUCCCAGAGCCUACUCAAACUCAUGUCCAUCGCGUCGGUGAUGCCAUCCAACCAUCUCAUCCUCUGUCGUCCCCUUCUCCUCCUGCCUUCAAUCUUUCCCAGCAUCAGGGUCUUUUCCAAUGAGUCAGUUCUUCACAUCAGGUGGCCAAAGUAUUGGAGUUUCAGCUUAAACAUCAGUCCUUCCAAUGAAUAUUCAGGACUGAUUCCCUUUAGGAUGGACUAGUUGGAUCUCCUUGCUGUCCGAGGAACUCUUAAGAGUCUUUC
ensembl:lncRNA